rnacentral:tRNA from 1 species
GAGGGUGUAGCUCAGUGGUAGAGAGUGUGCUUAGCAUGCUUGGGGUCCUGGGUUCAAUCCCCAGUACCUCCA